rnacentral:rRNA from 1 species
CCUACGGGUGGCAGCAGUAGGGAAUUUUGCGCAAUGGACGAAAGCCUGACGCAGCAACGCCGCGUGCUCGAGACGCCCUUCGGGAUGUAAAGAUCUGUCAUUGGGGACGAUACUUGACGGUACCCGCAGAGGACGCAACGGCUAACUCCGUGCAAGCAGCCGCGGGAAUACGGGGGGUGCAAGCGUUGUCCGGAGGCAUUAGGCGUAAAGAGUUCGUAGGCGGCACGUAAAGUCUGGUGUGAAAGGCAGAGGCUCAACUUCGGUACGGCACUGGAUACUGGAGAGCUAGAAUGCGGUAGAGGUAAAGGGAAUGCCUGGUGUAGCGGUGAAAUGCUGAGAGAUCAUGAGGAACAGCGGUGGCGGAAGCGGUUUACCGGGCCGUAAUUGACGUUGAGGAACGAAAGCCAGGGGAGCAAAUGGGAUUAGAUACCCUAGUAGUC